GUCAACCCCUGCCCGCGUUUGGACCCUACUUCCCCAGACCCCUGGAGGCUGCUCCCCGCUUCCAAAUACACUCUUUGAAGGAAGGAGAGAACCGGUGCCAAGUUCAGGGCUGGUGCCCUUUCUGGAGGUUGGAACAAGAGGACACGGAGCACAUUCUAAAUGUGGGGCAGCAAACGUGCGGUGGAAACUCCAAGAUUCUCCAGCCAACUCUCCGGAAACUGUCCAGCACAAGCAAAGGUUUCCUUUAGCAAUUUCAACAGAGAAAGCACAGCUUGGAUUCUUGCUUCCACAUCUUCCCAAAGUUAUGGAACUGGCCUUGGAACAAGUGAUUCCUGUGCAGAACGCCAGAGGAUCACCCACUGACCACCUGUGAGCACGCCGUGGGACCGGCUGUCUGGGCUGUCUGGGCUGGCACCUCUCCAUGACCGGGAGAGGACUGAGGUCAGGAGCAGACACCAGCCCAGUGGGCUGCAGACAGCCCAGGGACCGCACUUCCUUCUCACAGUCCCCCACCCCCACGCGUUAAGUCAUCGCACGCCAAGCUGGGGCCUGUGGGGGCACAAGUGUGGAGUCUUCACAGCGCUGGGGCUGCCAGUUCCACACAAACCCACAGCAGGCUCUGUGUGACUGUCCCCUGCUGUGGGCACCACCGUGAAACUCCUCCUCGCAAGGCAGGGACACUGUCUCUGCUUGGAACACACGGGAUUAAGGUGGAGGGAGAGACGGGGUGGCAAACAGACACAGACAGCUCUGCUCUUCUGUCAAUUUGCCCUUGGAACCUGCCCUCCCCCUCCCUCUUGCUUCAACUCCUUUUCUCUGUCAUAAAAGUGAAAGCUUUCACAGGCUAA